AGUGGGAUAACUGGGUCAAAUGGUGAUGCUAUUCCAAGUUUUCUGAGGAAUCCCCAUACUGCUUUCCAUUGUGGUUGCACCAAUUUGCAAUCUCACCAGCAAU
rnacentral:pre_miRNA from 1 species